AAGGAGAAGGACUACUUAGAUUUUGUACUACCCUCUUUUGACCAUUACGAGGAAGUGCUGCGUAGAAAGGUCCCGAUUAAUUGUGCAGUGCGACGUGCCAUUAUCAACAAACUGUUUGCAGCUUGCUUCAAGAUAGCUUGGUACCCUUCUAGACAGUUGUACCGCGUAGCUGCCGAGAGGCUUGUCAGUGCAUACCCACACCUUGCUGACAGAGUUGGCAGCGGAAAUGGCCUGGACUCGUGGGUCAUGGCAUUGAGAAACAAAUUCAAGAACAUGCGUAAGAAGGCAGAGAAUUGCUCUGAAGAAAUGUUGGCAAAAAAAAGGCACUUCCUGGUCAAGCGGAAACAGCAGGUGGCUUCUGGUGAAGCUACAAACAAGAAGUUAUGCCGCCUUUUUGAUUGCAGUCAUCUUGUAGCAUAUGGGGAAACUGCCGAGUCAUUGAGGCUGCACAAUGAAUGGCUUCAAGACAAUGCUGGCUGCCAAGGUGAAGAGGCAGUAAGGCCGAGGCUGCUUGCAAAAGCAAAAGAGAGGCAAGAUCAACUUCGCAGCCUUACGCUAUCAGAUGCUCUGUUGCUGUUCCCCUUUCUGGCAACUGAG